AACGGGGGGAGCUUAGUGUUAUUCGUCAUAAUUGGGCGUAGGGUGUGUAGGUGGCAUUGUAAAUAAAAAAUGAAAGACUGGAGCUUAACUCCUUAGACGUUUUUUAGACUGCUGCUUGAGUCUGAUAGACGAAACCGGUACUUUUUAAGUAAAGGUGGAAUUUGUAGAUAUAUGAAGGACGACGAUGGCGAAGGCGGGUUUCGAUUUCAGUUACGACACUGAGGCACUAAAGCGUGGGGAGCAACGGG
rnacentral:rRNA from 1 species